rnacentral:rRNA from 1 species
AUAGUUGACCUCAAAUCAGGUAGGGA